UACGAGUGCCUCAAGCGUUAUCCGGAAUCAUUGGGCGUAAAGGGUGUGUAGGCGGCAUUAUUAGUCUCGCGUUAAAUCUACUGGCUCAACCGGUAGGCUGCGUGGGAAACGGUAAUGCUAAGAGGACGGGAGAGGUCUCUGGAACUCAUGGUGUAGCGGUGAAAUGCGUUGAUAUCAUGGGGAACACCAAAAGCGAAGGCAAGAGACUGGCCCGCUCCUGACGCUGAAACACGAAAGCGUGGGUCGCGAA
rnacentral:rRNA from 1 species